GCCCGCGUAGGAGAAUGGUAUAUCCGGGGGUCUCAAAAACCCUGCCCUAGUGGCGUGUCGGUUCGAGUCCGACCGUGGGUAC
rnacentral:tRNA from 2 species